CACCUGCUGUCUCAGAUGGUAAAGAAUCUGCCUGCAAUGCAGGAUACCUGGGUUCAAUCCCUGGGUCAGUAA
rfam:TPA: Bos taurus chromosome 7, whole genome shotgun sequence.